GUCCUUGUCGAUUAGUGGUUAGAUCAUGACGUUGUGGAAUUUAUUCAGAGUUACCGUCAAGACGGAGGUUCGACUUCUCCCUGGGACA